GGCGUCGAGUAACACGUGGGCAACCUGCCUAUAAGACUGGGAUAACUUCGGGAAACCGGAGCUAAUACCGGAUACGUUCUUUUCUCGCAUGAGAGAAGAUGGAAAGACGGUUUACGCUGUCACUUAUAGAUGGGCCCGCGGCGCAUUAGCUAGUUGGUGAGGUAAUGGCUCACCAAGGCGACGAUGCGUAGCCGACCUGAGAGGGUGAUCGGCCACACUGGGACUGAGACACGGCCCAGACUCCUACGGGAGGCAGCAGUAGGGAAUCUUCCGCAAUGGACGAAAGUCUGACGGAGCAACGCCGCGUGAACGAAGAAGGCCUUCGGGUCGUAAAGUUCUGUUGUUAGGGAAGAACAAGUACCAGAGUAACUGCUGGUACCUUGACGGUACCUAACCAGAAAGCCACGGCUAACUACGUGCCAGCAGCCGCGGUAAUACGUAGGUGGCAAGCGUUGUCCGGAAUUAUUGGGCGUAAAGCGCGCGCAGGUGGUUCCUUAAGUCUGAUGUGAAAGCCCACGGCUCAACCGUGGAGGGUCAUUGGAAACUGGGGAACUUGAGUGCAGAAGAGGAAAGUGGAAUUCCAAGUGUAGCGGUGAAAUGCGUAGAGAU
rnacentral:rRNA from 2 species